CCUGGGAGGUAAAGGGUUCUGAGGAGAUUGUGGUGAGGCAGUGUCAGAGGAAGGUGACGCGGAAGGGAAGUACUAACCCGAACGAAGGAACGAAGGGACGCUGUGGUAAAGGACCCUGUGUUCAUCAAACUUUCAUGGAUCGCUGGGUGCCCUGAGGUGCACCUGGAAUCUACUUGGUGAGUACAGCUCUCAAAUGGAAGUGCCGCCUACAGGAUUCCUGUCUAGCGCAGGGAGACUAUAGUCAUGGCUUCCAAAAUCAAGGGCAGACCUCCCAAGCAACCAAAGGUGACUCCUGCUCUGCCAUCUGAUGAUUCACAGCAGCUUCAUGAAAAUAACCCAGGAAACAAUCUGGCCCUUGAAACUUGUGGGGAAAGCAGUUCUUCCCAUGGAACAGGUGGACCAAAGCCAGG